rnacentral:rRNA from 1 species
AAGUCAGAUGUGAAGGCCUUCUGUUCAACGGAAGAAUUGCAUCUGAAACUGCGAGUCUUGAGUGUAGGAGGGGAGAAUGGAACUUCUGGUGGAGCGGUGAAAUGCGUAGAUAUCAGAAGGAACGCCGGCGGAGAAAGCAAUUCUCUGGCCUAUUACUGACACUCAGUGUGCGAACGUAAGGGGGAGCAAACGGGAUUAGAUACCCGGGUAGUCCUAGCCGUAAACGAU